UUUUAAUAGCUUAAAUGUUUGUUUUGCUUAAAAUAAAUAAAAGAAAAAAAACAAUGGGAGCAACAGUAAUAGACAUCGUCACUCCCUCGUCGUCCUCACUCUCACAACAUCUUCACAUUUCUCUCAACCGCUCUCUCAAUCUCGCUUUCUCAAAAUCGCUCUCUCAAAAUUGCUCUCUCAAAAUCGCUCUCUCUUGCUCUCUCACAAUCGCUCUCUCUUGCUCUCUCAC
rnacentral:lncRNA from 1 species